UUUGGUGGUCUUCUUUUUGAAUGUGCUGCUAAAGUGACUCUUCUGUAGUUGCAACAAGUUCUUCCCACCGGAACAAAAUGAACACAGGGAAAUGACAAGGUGCAGUACAUUAUUCACAAGUAUGAAUUAAAAAUGUGGCAGUUGCAUUGUCAUUCAGAACCUGCAAAGAAAAUUACCGUCAUGUGGGUGUUUUAUUCCGUGCAGGACUUUCAUCAAACAAAUAGUGUGCAUAUUACAGUACCGAAUCAGCACAAUACGUUACUUUUUAUUGGAAAUAAUUGAACUUGCCGAAUUGGGGGUGACGAAUUCCAAUUCCCAGAACACAGAAACGGCGUCCAUUUCAUUCGGGUUAAACGCAAAUCUAUAACAAUUUGUUCUUCACUCCCAGGAGAAUUUCUUGAUUUCGUUAUCAAAUGGUUUGAUGAUUAAAUAAUUGAAUAGAUUGAAUGCAAAUCACUAAAUUUGUAGAGAAGUAAACUAA
rnacentral:lncRNA from 1 species